rnacentral:rRNA from 1 species
GACGAACCGUGCGAACGUUGUUCGGAAUCACUGGGCUUAAAGGGCGCGUAGGCGGACACUCAAGUCGGUGGUGAAAUCCUCCGGCUCAACCGGAGAAGAGCUGUCGAUACUGGGUGUCUCGAGGGGUGUAGGGGCCUGUGGAACUUUGGGUGGAGCGGUGAAAUGCGUAGAGAUCCAAAGGAACGCCGGUGGCGAAAGCGACGGGCUGGACACCUUCUGACGCUGAGGCGCGAAAGCCAGGGGAGCAAACGGG